GACGUAGGGCGCGAGCGUUGUCCGGAUUUAUUGGGCGUAAAGAGCUCGUAGGCGGCUUGUCGCGUCGAAUGUGAAAUCUCGGGGGCUCAACUCCGAGCUUGCAUUCGAUACGGGCAGGCUAGAGUUCGGUAGGGGGAGACUGGAAUUCCUGGUGUAGCGGUGAAAUGCGCAGAUAUCAGGAGGAACACCGGUGGCGAAGGCGGGUCUCUGGGCCGAUACUGACGCUGAGGAGCGAAAGCGUGGGGGAGCGAACAGG
rnacentral:rRNA from 1 species